AGAGUUUGAUCAUGGCUCAGGAUGAACGCUGGCGGCGUGCCUAACACAUGCAAGUCGAGCGAAGCACUUGAAUACGAUUCUUCGGAUGAGGAUUCUUGUGACUGAGCGGCGGACGGGUGAGUAACGCGUGGGCAACCUGCCUUACACAGGGGGAUAACAGUUAGAAAUGACUGCUAAUACCGCAUAAGACCACAAAACCGCAUGGUUUGGUGGUAAAAACUCCGGUGGUGUAAGAUGGGCCCGCGUCUGAUUAGGUAGUUGGUGGGGUAACGGCCUACCAAGCCGACGAUCAGUAGCCGACCUGAGAGGGUGACCGGCCACAUUGGGACUGAGACACGGCCCAAACUCCUACGGGAGGCAGCAGUGGGGAAUAUUGCACAAUGGGGGAAACCCUGAUGCAGCGACGCCGCGUGAGCGAUGAAGUAUUUCGGUAUGUAAAGCUCUAUCAGCAGGGAAGAAAAUGACGGUACCUGACUAAGAAGCCCCGGCUAACUACGUGCCAGCAGCCGCGGUAAUACGUAGGGGGCAAGCGUUAUCCGGAUUUACUGGGUGUAAAGGGAGCGUAAACGGCUUGGCAAGCCAGAUGUGAAAGGCUGGGGCUC
rnacentral:rRNA from 1 species